UAAUAAGCUACAAUUCGCUUCAGUAACUCAAAAAAAAUUUAUAAAAAAAUAAAACUGUCGGUAAUCUUUUUUCCCCGACUCUAAGAGUUACUGACACUGUAUGCAAAGAUUCGGUUGUUGAUAUUUUUUGGUGGAGUUAUCCAAAAUAUGGAAUUUGGGCAAAACUUUGAUUUCGAUCAAUCGAGAUGUCCGAUGUCCGAUUUGAUCGAUCAAGAUCAGAACGGGCAUCGGACGCGCGCCGCGAAACCGAUGGCGAUUAAAAAGGAUAACAGACACUUGGUGGAGAGUACAGAAAACCGCUUUGUUUUUGCCCAUCGGGACGUUAUUGCUCUGGUUAUAUUUAGGCGCCGAGGCGCGACUGCUUGAAUAAACAUCGCUCACUUCUCUCGCGUGUUUUGCUUCCUAUCUUCCGUAUUUGACUUAUUAUUAUUAUUUUUUAUUUAUUUAUUCGACAGCCAACUCACAAAUGACGAUAGGAAAACUAGUACUGCCGCUUUUGG
rnacentral:lncRNA from 1 species